rnacentral:rRNA from 1 species
AUUGAACGCUGGCGGCAGGCCUAACACAUGCAAGUCGAGCGGAUGAAGGGAGCUUGCUCCUGGAUUCAGCGGCGGACGGGUGAGUAAUGCCUAGGAAUCUGCCUGGUAGUGGGGGAUAACGUCCGGAAACGGGCGCUAAUACCGCAUACGUCCUGAGGGAGAAAGUGGGGGAUCUUCGGACCUCACGCUAUCAGAUGAGCCUAGGUCGGAUUAGCUAGUUGCUGGGGUAAAGGCCUACCAAGGCGACGAUCCGUAACUGGUCUGAGAGGAUGAUCAGUCACACUGGAACUGAGACACGGUCCAGACUCCUACGGGAGGCAGCAGUGGGGAAUAUUGGACAAUGGGCGAAAGCCUGAUCCAGCCAUGCCGCGUGUGUGAAGAAGGUCUUCGGAUUGUAAAGCACUUUAAGAUGGGAGGAAGGGCAGUAAGUUAAUACCUUGCUGUUUUGACGUUACCAACAGAAUAAGCACCGGCUAACUUCGUG